rnacentral:rRNA from 1 species
GAGUAACGCGUAGGUAACCUGCCUGGUAGCGGGGGAUAACUAUUGGAAACGAUAGCUAAUACCGCAUGAUAUCGAUUAUUGCAUGAUAGUCAAUUAAAAGGUGCAAUUGCAUCACUACCAGAUGGACCUGCGUUGUAUUAGCUAGUUGGUGAGGUAACGGCUCACCAAGGCAACGAUACAUAGCCGACCUGAGAGGGUGAUCGGCCACACUGGGACUGAGACACGGCCCAGACUCCUACGGGAGGCAGCAGUAGGGAAUCUUCGGCAAUGGACGGAAGUCUGACCGAGCAACGCCGCGUGAGUGAAGAAGGUUUUCGGAUCGUAAAGCUCUGUUGUAAGAGAAGAACGAGUGUGAGAGUGGAAAGUUCAC